rnacentral:rRNA from 1 species
GAUGAACGCUGGCGGCGUGCUUAACACAUGCAAGUCGAACGAAGCACUUUAACCUGAUUCUUCGGAUGAAGGUUUUUGUGACUGAGUGGCGGACGGGUGAGUAACGCGUGGGUAACCUGCCUCAUACAGGGGGAUAACAGUUAGAAAUGAAUGCUAAUACCGCAUAAGACCACAGAGCCGCAUGGCACGGUGGGAAAAACUCCGGUGGUAUGGGAUGGACCCGCGUCUGAUUAGGUAGUGGGUAGGGUAACGGCCUACCAAGCUGACGAUCAGUAGCUGGUCGGAGAGGAGGAGCAGCCAGGAUGGGACUGCGACAAGGACCAGACUCCUACGGGAGGCAGCAGUGGGGAAGAUUGGACAAUGGGAGAAAGCAUGAGACAGCAAUGCAGCGUGAGUGAUGAAGGCAUUAGGGUUGUAAAGCUCUUUUACCCGGGAUGAUAAUGACAGUACCGGGAGAAUAAGCUCCGGCUAACUCCGUG